GCCCGUAUAGCUCAGUGGUAGAGCGCGUCACUCGUAAUAUCUUCUCCUCUCCACCCGGAGCAAAGAAGAAAACAUGCGGCAUGACGAGGUCCACGGUUCAAUCCCGUGUGGGGGCU